rnacentral:rRNA from 1 species
UACGUAGGCAGCGAGCGUUGUUCGGAGUUACUGGGCGUAAAGAGUGCGUAGGCGGUUUUCUAAGUUUGGUGUGAAAUCUCCCGGCUCAACCGGGAGGGUGCGCCGAAUACUGAGGGACUAGAGUGCGGGAGAGGAAAGUGGAAUUCCUGGUGUAGCGGUGAAAUGCGUAGAUAUCGGAAGGAACAUCAGUGGCGAAAGCGGCUUCCUGGACCAGCACCGACGUUCAGGCACGAAAGCGUGGGGAGCAAACAGG